GCGAAUCGCCCUUCGGGGCGCAGCAGGCGCGAAAACUUUACAAUGCGGGAAACCGUGAUAAGGGGACACCGAGUGCCAGCAUCAUAUGCUGGCUGUCCGGGUGUGUAAAAUACACCCGUUAGCAAGGGCCGGGCAAGACCGGUGCCAGCCGCCGCGGUAACACCGGCGGCCCGAGUGGUGAUCGUGAUUAUUGGGUCUAAAGGGUCCGUAGCCGGUUUGGUCAGUCCUCCGGGAAAUCUGACGGCUCAACCGUUAGGCUUUCGGGGGAUACUGCCAGGCUUGGAACCGGGAGAGGUAAGAGGUACUACAGGGGUAGGAGUGAAAUCUUGUAAUCCCUGUGAGACCACCUGUGGCGAAGGCGUCUUACCAGAACGGGUUCGACGGUGAGGGACGAAAGCUGGGGGCACGAACCGGAUUAGAUACCCGGGUAGUCCCAGCCGUAAACGAUGCUCGCUAGGUGUCAGGCAUGGCGCGACCGUGUCUGGUGCCGCAGGGAAGCCGUGAAGCGAGCCACCUGGGAAGUACGGCCGCAAGGCUGAAACUUAAAGGAAUUGGCGGGGGAGCAC
rnacentral:rRNA from 1 species